rnacentral:rRNA from 1 species
GACGAACGCUGGCGGCGUGCCUAACACAUGCAAGUCGAACGGAGAAUUAGCAAUAAUUCUUAGUGGCGAACGGGUGAAUAACGCGUAGACAACCUACCCUUUAGAUGGGGACAACACCGCGAAAGUGGUGCUAAUACCGAAUAUUGCUUGAGAAGCGCAUGCCUUUCAAACUAAAGAUGGCCUCUAUUUAUAAGCUAUCGCUAAAGAAUGGGUCUGCGUCUGAUUAGCUAGUUGGUGAGAUAAAAGCUCACCAAGGCAACGAUCAGUAGCCGGUAUGAGAGGAUGAACGGCCACACUGGGACUGAGACACGGCCCAGAAUCCUACGGGAGGCAGCAGUGGGGAAUCUUCCGCAAUGGACGAAAGUCUGACGGAGCAACGCCGCGUGAGUGAUGAAGGUUUUCGGAUCGUAAAACUCUGUUGUUAAGGACGAAUGUAUAGGUUGUGAAUAAUGGUUUAUAAUGACGGUACUUAACGAGGAAGCCACGGCUAACUACGUGCCAGCAGCCGCAGUAA